UUCCAGACUCCUACGGGAGGCAGCAGUGGGGGAUAUUGCACAAUGGGGGAAACCCUGAUGCAGCGACGCCGCGUGUGGGAAGACGGUCUUCUGGAUUGUAAACCACUGUCCCCAGGGACGAAAAUGACGGUACCUGGGGAGGAAGCUCCGGCUAACUACGUGCCAGCAGCCGCGGUAAUACGUAGGGGGCAAGCGUUAUCCGGAUUUACUGGGUGUAAAGGGAGCGUAGACGGCAGUGCAAGUCCGGAGUGAAAGCCCGGGGCUCAACCCUGGGACUGCUCUGGAAACUGUAAAGCUGGAGUGCGGGAGGGGCAGGCGGAAUUCCUGGUGUAGCGGUGAAAUGCGUAGAUAUCAGGAGGAACACCGGCGGCGAAGGCGGCCUGCUGGACCGUAACUGACGUUGAGGCUCGAAAGCGUGGGGAGCAAACAGGAUUAGAUACCCUAGUA
rnacentral:rRNA from 1 species